CCUACGGGGUGCACCAGUAGGGAAUCUUCCGCAAUGGGCGUAAGCCUGACGGAGCAACGCCGCGUGAGUGAUGAAGGUCUUCGGAUCGUAAAACUCUGUUAUUAGGGGAGAACAAACGUGUAAGUAACUGUGCACGUCUUGACGGUACCUAAUCAGAAAGCCACAGCUAACUACGUGCCAGCAGCCGCGGUAAUACGUAGGUGGCAAGCGUUAUCCGGAAUUAUUGGGCGUAAAGCGCGCGUAGGCGGUUUUUUAAGUCUGAUGUGAAAGCCCACGGCUCAACCGUGGAGGGUCAUUGGAAACUGGAAAACUUGAGUGCAGAAGAGGAAAGUGGAAUUCCAUGUGUAGCGGUGAAAUGCGCAGAGAUAUGGAGGAACACCAGUGGCGAAGGCGACUUUCUGGUCUGUAACUGACGCUGGUGUGCGAAAGCGUGGGGAGCAAACAGGAUUAGAUACCCUAGUAGUC
rnacentral:rRNA from 1 species